AAAAGAAAAGAAAGAAAGAGGAAGAGAAAGCAUGAGAUUUAAUGUCAAGAGACAGAUCACCGGUAUAAAAUUCCUUUUUCCUUUCCUUUCUUCUGUU
rnacentral:ribozyme from 1 species